rnacentral:rRNA from 1 species
UACGUAGGCAGCAAGCGUUGUUCGGAGUUACUGGGCGUAAAGGGUGCGUAGGCGGCUUCUUAAGUCUGGUGUGAAAUCUCCCGGCUCAACUGGGAGGGUGCGCCGGAUACUGAGGGGCUAGAGUGUGGGAGAGGAAAGUGGAAUUCCUGAUGUAGCGGUGAAAUGCGUAGAUAUCAGGAGGAACACCGGUGGUGUAAACGGCUUUCUGGACCAUAACUGACGCUGAGGCACGAAAGCGUGGGUAGCAAACGGG